CCUACGGGAGGCAGCAGUGAGGAAUAUUGGUCAAUGGACGCAAGUCUGAACCAGCCAUGCCGCGUGCAGGAAGACGGCUCUAUGAGUUGUAAACUGCUUUUGUACGAGGGUAAACGCAGAUACGCGUAUCUGUCUGAAAGUAUCGUACGAAUAAGGAUCGGCUAACUCCGUGCCAGCAGCCGCCGUAAUACGGAGGAUUCAAGCGUUAUCCGGAUUUAUUGGGUUUAAAGGGUGCGUAGGCGGUCUGAUAAGUUAGAGGUGAAAUCCCGGGGCUCAACUUCGGAAUUGCCUCUGAGACUGUCCGGCUAGAGAGUAGUUGAGGUAGGCGGAAUGUAUGGUGUAGCGGUGAAAUGCUUAGAGAUCAUACAGAACACCGAUUGCGAAGGCAGCUUACCAAGCUACUUCUGACGUUGAGGCACGAAAGCGUGGGGAGCAAACAGGAUUAGAUACCCUUGUAGUC
rnacentral:rRNA from 1 species